rnacentral:rRNA from 1 species
UACGUAGGGGGCUAGCGUUGUUCGGAAUUACUGGGCGUAAAGCGCACGUAGGCGGCUUUGCAAGUCAGAGGUGAAAGCCCGGGGCUCAACCCCGGAAUUGCCUUUGAGACUGCAUCGCUAGAAUUGUGGAGAGGUAAGUGGAAUUCCGAGUGUAGAGGUGAAAUUCGUAGAUAUUCGGAAGAACACCAGUGGCGAAGGCGACUUACUGGACACAUAUUGACGCUGAGGUGCGAAAGCGUGGGGAGCAAACAGG